rnacentral:rRNA from 1 species
CGAAUGAGGAGAUUCAUCGUCAGCUUAUUCAGUAUUAAUGCAGGCUAUGAUGUGAUAAUAGAAUCCUUGUGGUCACUAGAUUAUACUUGCUUGUAUUAUUUUUGCUGGGUAUGUCGGCGUGCACUUCUCCUCUAGUAGAACGUCGCAACCCGUUGGAUGUUUAUCUAUGGCUUGAAUGGUAGCCUUUGAUAUUUUUUAUAUUGAAGACCUUCGAUGUCCUGAUAAACUGUUUGACGGUAUACAUAUGGUAUUGAGCCGCAAUUAUUUGCGUUAGACUUGCCGCAAGUAUGACUUUAUUCUAGUAGUGCGGAUCUAAUGCCGUCGCUGGACA